GCAAACUUGGUCAUUUAGAGGAAGUAAAAGUCGUAACAAGGUUUCCGUAGGUGAACCUGCGGAAGGAUCAUUACUGAGGUACGCUCGGUGUCGCUUCGGCGCGCCGGUUGCCCGCCCUUAUGUCAUUUGUGCCGGAGCCUGCCCCUCGGGGCGGGCGACGGGAACAUCACUUCGGUCGAGGUGUUGCGUCCCUCCCCUCUGGGGGAGAGGCGCGACCGCGGCCGGUCGUAUCUUUACACUCUUCGUGAGAGCAUGAAGUCUGAAGCAAAGAUUUAAUAAAGCAAAAACUUUCAACAACGGAUCUCUUGGCUCUGGCAUCGAUGAAGAACGCAGC
rnacentral:misc_RNA from 1 species